UCGCUCUUCAACGAGGAAUCCCUAGUAAGCACAAGUCAUCAGCUUGUGUUGAUUACGUCCCUGCCCUUUGUACACACCGCCCGUCGCUACUACCGAUUGAAUGGCUUAGUGAGACCUUCGGAUUGGCAUUAAGCAGCCGGCAACGGCAGUUUUUUGCUGAGAAGCUGGACAAACUUGGUCAUUUAGAGGAAGUAAAAGUCGUAACAAGGUUUCCGUAGGUGAACCUGCGGAAGGAUCAUCAUUAAAUCCAUUUAUACACCCUUGUGAACUGUGCGCUGAAGUUGCUACGCUCGUCGUGCAUCAUUCUUUGCAAAAACUACUUGAUUUAAAAAAGCUGAAGCAAUUAUAUUAAAUAAAACAACUUUCAACAAUGGAUCUCUUGGCUCUCGCAUCGAUGAAGAACGCAGCGAAUUGCGAAAAGUAAUGUGAAUUGCAGAAUUCCGUGAAUCAUCGAAUCUUUGAACGCAUAUUGCACUCUCUGGCUCUCCAGAGAGUAUGCCUGUUUGAGUAUCAGUUUAAAUCUCUCACCCCCCAUUGGGGAUGAGGAAUUGAGUAAUCCGCCGGCGCUGAAUUGUUUACCCGAUUUGGUGAUUUAACGCGGUUGCUUGAAAUGUAUAGCUAAGCGGUAUUGACCACUGCUUAAGAUGACUAGGCGUAUUAGUUUCCCAUUUGGGAAUCCACUCGUGCGCCGGUGUAUUGGUCUCUAAAGCCUUUGAGUUGGUUGAUCGCUAUGCUUUCCUAAAUGUUCUUCGGAUCAUUUACUUAGUUUGGCUUGCGGUUAGCAUACUGAACUUGAUCUUGAUCUCAAAUCAGGCAAGACUACCCGCUGAAUUUAAGCAUAUUAAUAAGCGGAGGAAAAGAAACUAACAAGGAUUCCCCUAGUAACGGCGAGUGAAGCGGGAAGAGCUCAUCUUUAAAAUCUUAGUGGCUUGCCACUACGAAUUGUAGUAUGAAGAAGCGUUUUCGGUGACGGCGCUGGCUCAAGUCUCCUGGAAUGGAGCGUCAGAGAGGGUGACAAUCCCGUUCAUGUUUAAUUCUCAGGUGCUUUAUGAUACGUUUUCGAAGAGUCGAGUUGUUUGGGAUUGCAGCUCAAAAUGGGAGGUAAAUUUCUCCUAAAGCUAAAUAUUGGCGAGAGACCGAUAGCGAACAAGUACCGUGAGGGAAAGAUGAAAAGAACUUUGAAAAGAGAGUUAAAUAGUACGUGAAAUUGUUGAAAGGGAAACGAUUGAAGUCAGUCGUACCAACGGGAAAUCAACCUUUCGAGCGGGGUUUUUGAGGUUUCAAAGAGUUUCAAAGCCUUUGGGAUUUUAAAAUUUCUUCUCUGCUGGUGUACUUUCUCGUAGGUAGGUCAACAUCGAUUUUGAACAUCAUAAAAAGACUGGAGGAAUGUAGCUUCGAUCUCGUAUUGAAGUGUUAUAGACUUUGGUAAAUGUGAUGAUCAAGAUCGAGGAUUGCAACGAAUAUCCUUUUGGGCUAUUCGUCUGAUCUCUGAUCGUUGCCUUGGUAUCGAAAGCUUGCUUAUGAUAUUAAGGUAUUACGGUCAAAAGGUUAGAACGGAUUACAUUCGUUAAGGAUGUUGACGUAAUGGCUUUAAACGACCCGUCUUGAAACACGGACCAAGGAGUCUAACAUAUGUGCGAGUGUUU
rnacentral:rRNA from 1 species